rnacentral:lncRNA from 1 species
GAAAUUGAAAAUUAUGUCAGUAUUUACUAUUCAGAUAAUAAACUGAUAAUAUUAGAUAACAUGUUUAAAAUGUAAAAUUAAAUAAACAGAUGAGAGAAUUGAUACAUUUAUGAAUGUAAUGAGUGGUAACCGAUAACUUGAUAUUACAAAAUAAAAUAAAAUUAGUUUGGGCCACAUUAAUAAAUCUGACAUCUAUAAUUUAAAAUCCAAUUGAUGAAAUUGAAAAUUAUGUCAGUAUUUACUAUUCAGAUAAUAAACUGAUAAUAUUAGAUAACAUGUUCAAAAUGUAAAAUUAAAUAAACAGAUGAGAGAAUUGAUACAUUUAUGAACGUAAUGAGCGGUAACCGAUAACUUGAUAUUACAAAAUAAAAUAAAAUAAAAUUAGUUUGGGCCACAUUAAUAAAUCUGACAUCUAUAAUUUAAAAUCCAAUCGAUGGAUAAAAAAUCAACACGCUUUCUUUAAUAGGUUAAAAAAUUGGAUGGUUGGAGGGAGACUCAGAUGAAGAUUGAAAGAGUAACGACCGAAACUGACAGCUUUUAGAAGUACCUUG